UAUCUUUAGAAAAAGGCACUUUUUCGAACUUUCAAUCUUCUUUUUACUAGACAGGCGCUUUAACCAACUAAGCCACGGCGCCAUGAC